rnacentral:rRNA from 1 species
UACGAAGGGGGCUAGCGUUGCUCGGAAUCACUGGGCGUAAAGCGCACGUAGGCGGAUUGUUAAGUCAGGGGUGAAAUCCUGGAGCUCAACUCCAGAACUGCCUUUGAUACUGGCGAUCUCGAGUCCGGGAGAGGUGAGUGGAACUGCGAGUGUAGAGGUGAAAUUCGUAGAUAUUCGGAAGAACACCAGUGGCGAAGGCGACUUACUGGACGAUUGUUGACGCUGAGGUGCGAAAGCGUGGGGAGCAAACAGGG